GAUCCGCGAAUAUCCUAAUGGGGCAACCCGUUAUACUGAAGGUAUAACAUCCGACUAUGUCGGAGGCAAACCCGGUGAACUGAAACAUCUAAGUAACCGGAGGAGAAGAAAACAAAAGUGAUUCCCCAAGUAGUGGCGAGCGAACGGGGAUUAGCCCAAACCAUAACUGUUUCGGCAUUUAUGGGGUUGUAGGACUACGAUAUGAGAUUAUGCGUGAAGUGGAACACUUUGGAAAGAGUGGCAAUAUAGGGUGACAGCCCCGUACACGAAAGCAAGUAAAAUCUAGUAGUAUCCUGAGUAAGGCGGGACACGAGAAAUCCUGUUUGAAUCAGCCGGGACCAUCCGGUAAGGCUAAAUACUCCUGAGAGACCGAUAGUGAACCAGUACCGUGAGGGAAAGGUGAAAAGUACCCCGAACAGGGGAGUGAAAUAGUACCUGAAACCAUACGCUUACAAACGGUUGGAGUCUGCCUUCGGGCGGAUGACAGCGUGCCUUUUGCAUAAUGAGCCUACGAGUUACCCUAUCUAGCGAGGUUAAGCACUUCAGGUGCGAAGCCCAAGCGAAAGCGAGUCUGAACAGGGCGAACAAGUUAGGUGGGGUAGACGCGAAACCCGGUGAUCUACCCAUGGUCAGGAUGAAGCCCCGGUAAUACGGGGUGGAGGUCCGAACUGAUAUACGUUGAAAAGUGUUCAGAUGAACUGUGGGUAGGGGUGAAAGGCCAAUCAAACCGGGAAAUAGCUCGUACUCCCCGAAAUGCAUUUAGGUGCAGCCUCGGUUAUGAGUCUUAUAGAGGUAGAGCUACUGAUAGGGCUAGAGGGCUUCACCGCCUAUCAACCCCUGAUAAAC
rnacentral:rRNA from 1 species